CCGACUCCUACGGGAGGCAGCAGUAGGGAAUCUUCGGCAAUGGACGGAAGUCUGACCGAGCAACGCCGCGUGAGUGAAGAAGGUUUUCGGAUCGUAAAGCUCUGUUGUAAGAGAAGAACGAGUGUGAGAGUGGAAAGUUCACACUGUGACGGUAUCUUACCAGAAAGGGACGGCUAACUACGUGCCAGCAGCCGCGGUAAUACGUAGGUCCCGAGCGUUGUCCGGAUUUAUUGGGCGUAAAGCGAGCGCAGGCGGUUAGAUAAGUCUGAAGUUAAAGGCUGUGGCUUAACCAUAGUACGCUUUGGAAACUGUUUAACUUGAGUGCAAGAGGGGAGAGUGGAAUUCCAUGUGUAGCGGUGAAAUGCGUAGAUAUAUGGAGGAACACCGGUGGCGAAAGCGGCUCUCUGGCUUGUAACUGACGCUGAGGCUCGAAAGCGUGGGGAGCAAACAGGAUUAGAUACCCUGGUAGUCCACGCCGUAAACGAUGAGUGCUAGGUGUUAGACCCUUUCCGGGGUUUAGUGCCGUAGCUAACGCAUUAAGCGCUCCGCCUGGGGAGUACGACCGCAAGGUUGAAACUCAAAGGAAUUGACGGGGGCCCGCACAAG
rnacentral:rRNA from 1 species